UACGUAGGGGGCGAGCGUUGUCCGAAUUUACUGGGCGUAAAGCGCGCGUAGGCGGCUAAUUAAGUCUGGGGUGAAAGGUUCCGCGCUUAACGUGAACAGUGCCUUGGAUACUGGUUGGCUUGAGUCUGGGAGAGGGUCGUGGAAUUCCUGGUGUAGCGGUGAAAUGCGUAGAUAUCAGGAGGAACACCCAUGGCGAAGGCAGCGACCUGGCCUAAGACUGACGCUGAGGUGCGAAAGCGUGGGGAGCAAACGGG
rnacentral:rRNA from 1 species